GGUGCGUUAGCUCAGUCGGUAGAGCAUGGUGCUGAUAACGCCAAGGUCGUGAGUUCGAACCUCACACGGACCA
rnacentral:tRNA from 1 species